AUUUUUGUCCUCCUGGACACCAGACAGACCGAUGCCGGGGAACAUCUCCCGAAGGUGGCCUUUUUUGCCCUGGUCCCGAGCAUC
rnacentral:sRNA from 1 species